rnacentral:rRNA from 1 species
CAGAGGUCCCGAGCGUUGUUCGGAUUCACUGGGCGUAAAGGGUGCGUAGGUGGCGAGGUAAGUCGGAUGUGAAAGCUCGGAGCUCAACUCCGAAAUGGCAUUGGAAACUACCUUGCUCGAGGGUUGGAGGGGGACUGGAAUACUUGGUGUAGCAGUGAAAUGCGUAGAUAUCAAGUGGAACACCAGUGGCGAAGGCGAGUCCCUGGACAACUCCUGACACUGAGGCACGAAAGCUAGGGGAGCAAACAGGAUUAGAUACCCUGGUAGUCCUAGCCGUAAACGGUGCUUGCUUGCUGUAAAAGGAAUCGACCCCUUUUGUGGCGUAGCCAACGCGUUAAGCAAGCCGCCUGGGAAGUACGGUCGCAAGAUUA